GUUAAGCGACUAAGCGUACACGGUGGAUGCCCUGGCAGUCAGAGGCGAUGAAGGGCGUGCUAAUCUGCGAUAAGCGCCGGUAAGGUGAUAUGAACCGUUAUAACCGGCGAUACCCGAAUGGGGAAACCCAGUGUGAUUCGUCACACUAUCAUUAACUGAAUCCAUAGGUUAAUGAGGCGAACCGGGGGAACUGAAACAUCUAAGUACCCCGAGGAAAAGAAAUCAACCGAGAUUCCCCCAGUAGCGGCGAGCGAACGGGGAGGAGCCCAGAGCCUGAAUCAGCAUGUGUGUUAGUGGAAGCGUCUGGAAAGGCGCGCGAUACAGGGUGACAGCCCCGUACACAAAAGCGCAUGUGCUGUGAGCUCGAUGAGUAGGGCGGGACACGUGGUAUCCUGUCUGAAUAUGGGGGGACCAUCCUCCAAGGCUAAAUACUCCUGACUGACCGAUAGUGAACCAGUACCGUGAGGGAAAGGCGAAAAGAACCCCGGCGAGGGGAGUGAAAAAGAACCUGAAACCGUGUACGUACAAGCAGUGGGAGCACAGGUUUACCUGUGUGACUGCGUACCUUUUGUAUAAUGGGUCAGCGACUUAUAUUCUGUAGCAAGGUUAACCGUAUAGGGGAGCCGUAGGGAAACCGAGUCUUAAUUGGGCGUUAAGUUGCAGGGUAUAGACCCGAAACCCGGUGAUCUAGCCAUGGGC
rnacentral:rRNA from 1 species